rnacentral:rRNA from 1 species
UGGGGAAUAUUGCGCAAUGGGGGAAACCCUGACGCAGCCAUGCCGCGUGAGUGAAGAAGGUCUUCGGAUCGUAAAGCUCUUUCAACGGUGAAGAUGAUGACGGUAGCCGUAGAAGAAGCCCCGGCUAACUUCGUGCCAGCAGCCGCGGUAAUACGAAGGGGGCAAGCGUUGUUCGGAAUUACUGGGCGUAAAGGGCGUGUAGGCGGUCUAAUCAGUCAGUGGUGAAAGCCCUGGGCUCAACCCAGGAAUUGCCUUUGAUACUGUUAGACUAGAGACCGGAAGAGGUUAGGGGAAUACCUAGUGUAGAGGUGAAAUUCGUAGAUAUUAGGUGGAACACCAGUGGCGAAGGCGCCUAACUGGUCCGGUACUGACGCUGAGGAACGAAAGCGUGGGGAGCAAACAGGAUUAGAUACCCUGGUAGUCCACGCCG